UAGACGCUACGGACUUGAAAAUCCGUUGGCUUUAUUGACCGUGAGGGUUCAAGUCCCUCUACCCCCA
rnacentral:tRNA from 8 species